UCUGUCCAAGUAUCAUGUGAAACUGUCCCUGCUUCAAUCUGACAAUAUUGGUAUGCAGUUUUGUGGCUACAAAGGGCCUUCUAGACCUCCAAAAAUCCCACAACCAAGCUUGUGUAUAUUCUACUUGUUUAGAGAGAAGAGAUAAAGCUUCUUUAUUAGUACAGAAUGAGAUGAAACUGAAGAUUGUGAAUUAAUGGAGGAAAUUCAGUGGGCUUGACUUAAUCAGAUAAAAGUGGGUAUGUUGGUCUCGUGACUAAAUUAAUCACUUCAGUUAGUGAAAAGUUCUAUACAUCACCAUGUUGCCUUUUGGAAGUGCCUAGCAGUGACAUAACAAAGGAUACAAUGAUAGAGAGUCUUUGUACUAUCUGAACUUGUCUCAGCGUUUUCUAAGAAGGAAAUUGAAAGAUGAGGUAUAUUCUUCAUACUUCGAUCUUACUGCAUUGUGGACGCCCAGGGUUCCUUCAGAAGAGGGUUGCCUUUAGAUUUGGACUCCUCUGUAGGACUCUUUCUGAUUCCCAAGGGAAUACUGGAGAUGGGGGUAAUAUGACUUUUAGGUCACGCGGUGCUUUUGGUAUUAGCAGUUACUACUGCAAGGAAGAAGCUCAUAAGAAUGGAUUCCAGCUAGUAUGGGAUGAGCAGACAGAGGCUCUACACGGAAGCAGACUCCAGAUGCUUGCCUGUAUGGUGCAUGACCUUUGCUUAGUUGUUCAAGGGUAGCAUGAAAGGUGGAUGCAUUUGAAAGCAUUAACAUUCCUCCACAUCUUCUGAAUAAAUUUGCUAUUUUAUAGGAGUUAAUUUUGUUUAAAUUCCUUCGUGUUGUUUCCUUUCCCAGUCCCCACCACUUAGGAGGUCAGCAGAAAGCUACGGCUUGCCUCAUAUUUAUUCAGUGACUUUUUCAGAUGAGCACCAGUCUCUUCAUACUUCACACGUUUAACCCCUUACUUUGGGUAGAACUUUGCUUCUAGAUUUGGAGAUAAGUCACUGUUAGUGU